GCCCGGAUGGUGAAAUCGGUAAACACAGCGGACUUAAAAUCCGCCGCCGCAAGGCCUACGGGUUCAAGUCCCGUUCCGGGCACCA
rnacentral:tRNA from 1 species